rnacentral:rRNA from 1 species
CUAUAAAACACUAUACAACUUUCAGCAACGGAUCUCUUGGCUCUCGCAUCGAUGAAGAACGCAGCGAAAUGCGAUAAGUAAUGUGAAUUGCAGAAUUCAGUGAAUCAUCGAAUCUUUGAACGCACCUUGCGCUCCUUGGUAUUCCGAGGAGCAUGCCUGUUUGAGUGUCAUUAAAUUCUCAACCUCACCCGU